rfam:Rattus norvegicus chromosome 6, whole genome shotgun sequence.
CUGGGUCUUGCUUCAACAGUGUUUGGACGGAACAA